ACUAGCAGUAAGAGUUUGAUCAUGGCUCAGAACGAACGCUGGCGGCAUGCCUAACACAUGCAAGUCGAACGAGACCUUCGGGUCUAGUGGCGCACGGGUGCGUAACGCGUGGGAAUCUGCCCAAAGGUUCGGAAUAACUCGGGGAAACCCGAGCUAAUACCGGAUAAUGUCUUCGGACCAAAGAUUUAUUGCCUUUGGAUGAGCCCGCGUCGGAUUAGCUUGUUGGUGAGGUAAAGGCUCACCAAGGCGACGAUCCGUAGCUGGUCUGAGAGGAUGAUCAGCCACACUGGGACUGAGACACGGCCCAGACUCCUACGGGAGGCAGCAGUGGGGAAUAUUGGACAAUGGGCGAAAGCCUGAUCCAGCAAUGCCGCGUGAGUGAUGAAGGCCUUAGGGUUGUAAAGCUCUUUUACCCGGGAUGAUAAUGACAGUACCGGGAGAAUAAGCUCCGGCUAACUCCGUGCCAGCAGCCGCGGUAAUUC
rnacentral:rRNA from 1 species